rnacentral:rRNA from 1 species
GACGAACGCUGGCGGCGUGCUUAACACAUGCAAGUCGAACGGUAAGGCCCUUCGGGGUACACGAGUGGCGAACGGGUGAGUAACACGUGGGUGAUCUGCCCUGCACUUUGGGAUAAGCCUGGGAAACUGGGUCUAAUACCGAAUACACCCUGCUGGUCGCAUGGCCUGGUGGGGGAAAGCUUUUGCGGUGUGGGAUGGGCCCGCGGCCUAUCAGCUUGUUGGUGGGGUGAUGGCCUACCAAGGCGACGACGGGUAGCCGGCCUGAGAGGGUGACCGGCCACACUGGGACUGAGAUACGGCCCAGACUCCUACGGGAGGCAGCAGUGGGGAAUAUUGCACAAUGGGCGCAAGCCUGAUGCAGCGACGCCGCGUGAGGGAUGACGGCCUUCGGGUUGUAAACCUCUUUCAAUAGGGACGAAGCGCAAGUGACGGUACCUAUAGAAGAAGGACCGGCCAACUACGUGCCAGCAGCCGCGGUAAUACGUAGGGUCCGAGCGUUGUCCGGAAUUACUGGGCGUAAAGAGCUCGUAGGUGGUUUGUCGCGUUGUUCGUGAAAACCCACAGCUUAACUGUGGGCGUGCGGGCGAUACGGGCAGACUUGAGUACUGCAGGGGAGACUGGAAUUCCUGGUGUAGCGGUGGAAUGCGCAGAUAUCAGGAGGAACACCGGUGGCGAAGGCGGGUCUCUGGGCAGUAACUGACGCUGAGGAGCGAAAGCGUGGGGAGCGAACAGGAUUAGAUACCCUGGUAGUCCACGCCGUAAACGGUGGGUACUAGGUGUGGGUUUCCUUCCUUGGGAUCCGUGCCGUAGCUAACGCAUUAAGUACCCCGCCUGGGGAGUACGGCCGCAAGGCUAAAACUCAAAGGAAUUGACGGGGGCCCGCACAAGCGGCGGAGCAUGUGGAUUAAUUCGAUGCAACGCGAAGAACCUUACCUGGGUUUGACAUGCACAGGACGCCGGCAGAGAUGUCGGUUCCCUUGUGGCCUGUGUGCAGGUGGUGCAUGGCUGUCGUCAGCUCGUGUCGUGAGAUGUUGGGUUAAGUCCCGCAACGAGCGCAACCCUUGUCUCAUGUUGCCAGCACGUUAUGGUGGGGACUCGUGAGAGACUGCCGGGGUCAACUCGGAGGAAGGUGGGGAUGACGUCAAGUCAUCAUGCCCCUUAUGUCCAGGGCUUCACACAUGCUACAAUGGCCGGUACAAAGGGCUGCGAUGCCGUGAGGUGGAGCGAAUCCUUUCAAAGCCGGUCUCAGUUCGGAUCGGGGUCUGCAACUCGACCCCGUGAAGUCGGAGUCGCUAGUAAUCGCAGAUCAGCAACGCUGCGGUGAAUACGUUCCCAGGCCU